rnacentral:misc_RNA from 1 species
GUAAACUUUAGAAUAUAAUGGCUGUCAACUGCGAAUAUAUGAACAGAAGUUUGUGCAAUUGAAGUAUACCACAUAUACUUAGGCUUAAAAAAAAACAACGCAACGUUCUUUCGCAAUACACACAAUUACAUUGACAUGAUAGUUGAUAAACAAGGUAUAAGAAAUAAUGAAACGACGAUGGGUGAUUGGACAUUCUUUAUCAGCUGCUGCCGCCCCCAAAGAGAUAACCUAGAGAAGAUCCACCACCAGGGGCUGCAUGUACUUUGGUAGAUGGCCGGUCCGUG